CAGCCACCUUACAAAAAGCGUUAAAGCUUCAUUGUUUUUAUCAAAAAUACCAUAAAUCAACUGUAACCCUUCACCUGUACUGAAUGAUCUCAUAAUUGUAUGAGAGCCUAUAUGUUAGAACUAGUAACAAGAAGAAGCCCUUCUCCAAAAUGUAAGCAUGAGCCAAAAUGAACUAUUCAUUGGCAUUUAAAGUUAUAAACCUAUUGUAGCAACUUAACAAGAAAAAUCUACAACUGUAUACGUCAACCUUACACCAGCACAUCUCUGGAAAGAUAAAAAGAAUAGGAAGGAACUCGGCAAAUAACUAACCCCGCCUGUUUACCAAAAACAUCGCCUCCUGAUUACCCAUAGGAGGUCCAGCCUGCCCAGUGACUAAGUUAAACGGCCGCGGUACCCUAACCGUGCAAAGGUAGCGCAAUCACUUGUUCUUUAAAUGAGGACUAGUAUGAACGGCAUCACGAGGGUUAUGCUGUCUCCCUACUCUACUCAGUGAAACUGAUCUCCCCGUGAAGAAGCGGGGAUAAAAAUAUAAGACGAGAAGACCCCAUGGAGCUUUAAACUCAGUACCAACUGCCCUAGUAAUAACCUAUUACCCUUGCAGUCAUGGUUACUAGUUUUCGGUUGGGGUGACCACGGAGUAAAACUUAACCUCCACGAUGAAAGGAACUAAUAUCCUAACCUAUGAGCUACAGCUCUAAGUAUCAACAAAUUGACUAACUGAUCCAAUUACUUGAUCAACGAACCAAGUUACCCUGGGGAUAACAGCGCAAUCCAUUUCAAGAGCUCAUAUCGACAAAUGGGUUUACGACCUCGAUGUUGGAUCAGGGUAUCCCAGUGGCGCAGCCGCUACUAAUGGUUC
rnacentral:rRNA from 1 species